rnacentral:lncRNA from 1 species
UUUUUUGGAUCUAGGCUUAACAUAAAUUUUGACCACUGCCAAAAUAACACCUUGAGAGAUUGCUUAUUGAUAAGUAGUUUUCACAUCAUUUAUGUUAGCUAUUUUCCCGUUUUUGUUCGAUUUACUUUCUUUUUAUCAUAAAUGAAUGAUUAUAUAUGGAUAUGUUUGAUUUAUGUUGUUUGAUUUGCUUAUUGAUAAGUGGUUUUCACAUCAUUUAUGUUAGCUAUUUUACUUCGCUAUUUUCUCGUUUUUGUUUGA